rnacentral:rRNA from 1 species
AUUGAACGCUGGCGGCAUGCUUUACACAUGCAAGUCGAGCGGCAGCGCGGGGGCAACCCUGGCGGCGAGCGGCGAACGGGUGAGUAAUGCAUCGGAACGUAUCCUCGAGUGGGGGAUAACCCAGCGAAAGUUGGGCUAAUACCGCAUGAGCUCUGAGGAGGAAAGCGGGGGACCUGCGAGGGCCUCGCGCUGGAGGAGCGGCCGAUGUCCGAUUAGCUAGUUGGUGGGGUAAAGGCUUACCAAGGCGACGAUCGGUAGCUGGUCUGAGAGGAUGAUCAGCCACACUGGGACGGAGACACGGCCCAGACUCCUACGGGAGGCAGCAGUGGGGAAUUUUGGACAAUGGGGGCAACCCUGAUCCAGCCAUGCCGCGUGAGUGAAGAAGGCCUUCGGGUUGUAAAGCUCUUUCGGACGGAACGAAAUGGGCGGGACUAAUACUCCUGUCUGAUGACGGUACCGUAAGAAGAAGCACCGGCUAACUACGUG